AUUGAACGCUGGCGGCAGGCCUAACACAUGCAAGUCGAACGAGUGGCGGACGGGUGAGUAAUGUCUGGUAAACUGCCCGCUGGAGGGGGAUAACUACUGGAAACGGUAGCUAAUACCGCAUACCAUCGGAUGUGCCCAGAUGGGAUUAGCUAGUAGGGGGGGAAACGGAGCACCUAGGCGACGAGCCCUAGCUGGUCUGGUAGGAUGACAAUCCACACUGGAACUGAGACACGGUCCAGACUCUUACGGGAGGCAGCAGUGGGGACUAUUGCACAAUGGGCGCAAGCCUGAUGCAGCCCUGCCGCGUUUAUGAAGAAGGCCUUCGGGUUGUAAAGGACUUUCAGCGAGGAGUCGUUACUCGCAGAAGAAGCACCGGCUAACUCCGUGCCAGCAGCCGCGGUAAUAC
rnacentral:rRNA from 1 species